UUGRGUUCUCACAAAAAAACUUCUGAAAAGAAUAAAAAACAAAGGUGCAAAAAUUGAAAAAACGGGAGAAGAAUGAUGAGACCAUUGUCUUCUUUUGUGACAGAUAUUCAGUCAGCAUUAUCCAGCAUUUCAGGAACCCGUCCAGUGAUUCUGGUGAUGACGCACCAUUACUUAUGAUCCAAACUACACUUUACUGAACAGAUCUUGGGACAGCACCAAGGUCAAGCUCCUUGUAGAGUGUCUGUUUUUUGAGAAGACAGGACUCCACAGCUUGGCCUUCGAAGAGGUUUACGGAUGCUGUUUAGACGUCCAAGAAAUCGAAGCAGAAAAUAGUUCUAAAGUCUAAAACAAACCUCUUCUUACGAUGGAUCCCUCAGAUGCCAAAAGAUGGAUUGGAAAAAAAGGGGGCUAUGCUUUUUUUUU